UACGUAGGUGGCAAGCGUUGUCCGGAAUUAUUGGGCGUAAAGCGCGCGCAGGCGGCCUUUUAAGUCUGAUGUGAAAGCCCACGGCUCAACCGUGGAAGGUCAUUGGAAACUGAAAGGCUUGAGUACAGAAGAGAAGAGCGGAAUUCCACGUGUAGCGGUGAAAUGCGUAGAGAUGUGGAGGAACACCAGUGGCGAAGGCGGGUCUCUGGGCCGAUACUGACGCUGAGGAGCGAAAGCGUGGGGAGCAAACAGG
rnacentral:rRNA from 1 species